UCCAAGCCCCAAGGGCUAACCCGGGCCCUUUCUAUAUUUAGCCCCAUUUUUGGUUGACCCACAUCUUGGGGGCUUCUUUAAAGCUCCUGGUCCCCCAAAACCCAUCCAAGUGGGUUGUGAAUGAAGCAGGGCCGGGUUAGCCCUCUAGUCCCAAAACAUUAUUUUUGAUGCAUUUUCUUCUGAACAACCACUCCAUUGAGUAUUUGACGACCUCCCCUCAGUCUCGCCGCCCCACCCUUCGUCUCCUCCCGCCAUGCUGAACCCCGGAGGAAACCUCCGCCCUCAUCGACGCCUACCGCGACAAGUGGUCCUCCCUCGGUCGCACCAACCUCAAAGCCACCCACGGGUAAGAGGUCGCCGAUUCCCCCACUGCCAAAACCGUCGUCCAGUGCCGCCAAAAAAUGGAAAAACUCCGCAAACGCUACCGCACCGAAAUCCAACGCCUCCGCUCCCUCCCUCUCCCUGGCCUCAUCACCAACUCCACCAUCGCUUCACCCUCCUCCUGGGUUCACUUCAAAUCUGUGGAUUCCAUGGAAAAAGGCCUCAACAAACCCCACACCGACACCACCACCGCCACUACCACCAACCCCAACACCCCCACCAACAACCUCAAUUUCCCCGACGGAUUCCAACUCAAUCUCUAACACAAUCUAAUCUCGUGGGUUCAUCUUUAACGCAAUCUAAUCUCGUGGCUCCAUCCUCUCCUAGAUCUACUCCCUAACCGGCUGUAGUAAGUUGUGGCUAGCCUUCCCCUUGAGCUCCUUGGCGAUGUUAUUAAUAGAAUAGAAGCAAAUGAGAGUACAUGGCCUGCUCGUAAGCAUGUCGUUGCAUGUGCUGCCGUGUGCAAGUCCCGGAGAGAAAUGUGCAAAGAAAUUGUUAGCCGUCUGGAAUUUUGUGGGAAGAUCAUUUUCCCUAUUGGCCUGAAGUAGCCUAGGCAUAGGAAUGGAACCAUCCAGUGUUUCAUCAAGAGAGACAAAUCUAAGCUGACAUACCAUCCAAUCCUGCCUUGCUUAUUGUAAAUGGAAAGUUUCUUCUCUCUGCCAAAAGGACCAGAAGAACAACUUGCAUGGAGUAUAUUAUAUCAAUGGAUGCAGAUAACAUAUUGAGAUCUAGUAGUACGUACAUUGGAAGUAUAAACUAAGCUCCAGGAAGUAUAUUACAAUAUAUGUAUUUACCAAUUGCUGUAUAAAAUUUUUGUUUCUUUCUA